rnacentral:lncRNA from 1 species
GGAAGUCGCGGGCACAGCCGCGUCCACAAAUAAGAGCCCGAAGGUCGUGGUGCCAAAACCCCCCAGCGGAAAAAUGGCCAAAAAACGGGUGGGCUAUAGGCUUGGUGGGGGGCGCGGGCGAAGUUCAUCCGCCGGACUCGGAAUGGGGCGAGACUUUGCGAGGGGCCUCGGGGUGCCAAAAAUAAGCCGCGGGCAAAGCCGUGCCCAAAAAUAAGCGCCCGAAGGUCGUGGUGCCAAAACUCCCCAGCGGAAAAAUGGCCAAAAAACGGGUGGGGUAUAGCCUUGGUGGGGGGCGCGGGCGAAGUUCGUCCGCCGGACUCGAAAUGGGGCGAGACCUUGCGAGGGGCCUCGGGGUGCCCGCGGGAAGUCGUGGGCACAGCCGCGUCCAAAAAUAAGCGCCCGAAGGUGGUGGUGCCAAAACCCCCCAGUGGAAAAAUGGCCAAAAAACGGGUGGGGUAUAGCCUUGGUGGGGGGCGCGGGCGAAGUUCGUCCGCCGGACUCGGAAUGGGGCGAGACUUUGCGCAGGGCCUCGGGGCGCCAAAAAUAAGCCGCGGGCAAAGCCGCGCCCAAAAAUAAGCGCCCGAAGGUCGUGGUGCCAAAACCCCCCAGCGGAAAAAUGGCCAAAAAACGGGUGGGCUAUAGCCUUGGUGGGGGGCGCGGGCGAAGUUCGUCCGCCGGACUCGGAAUGGGGCGAGACUUUGCGAGGGGCCUCGGGGUGCCCGCGGGAAGUCGCGGGCACAGCCCCGUCCACAAAUAAGCGCCCGAAGGUCGUGGUGCCAAAACCCCCCAGCGGAAAAAUGGCCCAAAAACGGGUGGGCUAUAGCCUUGGUGGGGGGCGCGGGCGAAGUUCGUCCGCCGGACUCGGAAUGGGGUGAGACUUUGCGCGGGGCCUCGGGGCGCAAAAAUAAGCCACGGGCAAAGCCGCGCCCAAAAAUAAGCGCCCGAAGGUCGUGGUGCCAAAACCCCCCAGCGGAAAAAUGGCUAAAAAACGGGUGGGCUAUAGCCUUGGUGAGGGGCGCGGGCGAAGUUCGUCCGCCGGACUCGGAAUGGGGCGAGACAUUGCGCAGGGCCUCGGGGCGCCAAAAAUAAGCCGCGGGCAAAGCCGCGCCCAAAAAUAAGCGCCCGAAGGUCGUGGUGCCAAAACCCCCCAGCGGAAAAAUGGCCAAAAAACGGGUGGGCUAUAGCCUUGGUGGGGGGCGCGGGCGAAGUUCGUCCGCCGGACUCGGAAUGGGGCGAGACUUUGCGAGGGGCCUCGGGGUGCCCGCGGGAAGUCACGGGCACAGCCGCGUCCAAAAAUAAGCGCCCGAAGGUCGUGGUGCCAAAACCCCCCAGCGGAAAAAUGGCCAAAAAACGGGUGGGCUAUAGCCUUGGUGUGGGGCGCGGGCGAAGUUCGUCCGCCGGACUCGGAAUGGGGCGAGACUUUGCGAGGGGCCUCGGGGUGCCCGCGGGAAGUCGCGGGCACAGCCGCGUCCAAAAAUAAGCGCCCGAAGGUCGUGGUGCCAAAACCCCCCAGCGGAAAAAUGGCCAAAAAACGGGUGGGCUAUAGCCUUGGUGGGGGGCGCGGGCGAAGUUCGUCCGCCGG